GCUCUGUAGGGCCAGGCCCGGUUGGGACCGCUUGCAGCAAAGGCAAUGUGUACGCCUCUGGAGAUAGUUUAUGUCACUUUCGAGCCCCACUCACUCCAACAGUAGAACUAAACUACCUGGUCUUACAUGGAUUCUGACACUUGGCACGUUUGGCAAAUGAAUGAAUGAUCCAGUCAAUCAAUGAGUGAAUGCACGCAUGCUGAUUUAAAUUUCAGAAGAUUGUUACUGUUCAAAAGUAACUAGAUCAACAAGGGACCUCAAAGGAAGACUAGCCCUCAGCUAACUACUGCCAGUCCUCCUCUUUUUGCUGAGGAAGCCUGGCUCUGAGCUAACAUCCGUGCCCAUCUUCCUCUAGUUUAUACAUGGGACGCCUACCACAGCAUGGCUGCCAAGCAGUGCCAUGUCCGCACACCCGGGAUCCGAAGCAGCGAACCCCGGGCCGCCGAGAAGCAGAACGUGCGAACUUAACCGCUGCGCCACCGGGCCGGACCCCUCAUUGAAACUUUCUAAACUUUAUGUGUUAGUGUUCUGUGUUGAAUAAUUUAGUGCAGCUACAGUUGACUGAAGCAGAGAUUCAACAUACAUUUCAAAGCUUCGAAAAACUUAACCCAAAACGUCCAACUGAUGAGAUUUACACAGUAACCUGGAGACGAUCUUUAAAAUGCCACCCGUAUCUGGGUUCCUGAUAGCUUCCUUAUCUGAUGAGCGUGAGGCAGAGAAGUAGCUCAGACAGCUUUGUCAGCUUCAGCCGGAUGAGGAACUCAGAACGAACAGAGCUUUCCAACACAUGUUUGAUAUGAUGAAGUCACAUUUGUCCUCUAAAUUGGGAAUAUUGUUGCCAUUUUUAUGGCUUGGUCUUUUUUUUAACUAAAAAUUCAUCCAUAUGUGCCCAGAUUUCAAACGGUGAAAGCCAUUCAUUUCCACUCCUUCAAGUGAAAUGGAGUCAUUGUUUGAAGAAAAGAUUAUGGGAUUAUGGCUGUUAAGUCCUUUCCGCUGGGAACUGAGUGGCAGUUUAGUAGUGACUGUGUGGUUCCACCACGCAGCUGGGCCACACCACCGAAGCCUCAGACCAAGGGCGGAGCUGACCCAGACGGAGGACCAGAAAUCAUGAGACACAAAGGAAAAGAGAAACCUCUCGUCUUAAAGAAAAAAAGAAAGAAAACUCCUAAAAUCCCAACUUUAAGGUUUCAAGAAACAAUGAGAUGUACAGCUGUGACAAAAGCUGCUUCAUGUCACACUUCUCUUGUCACAGUUGCCGGUUGCGUCCUGCCGACUCAGCUUCUCUUUGUCUCGCUUUUCUUUGCUAACCCCAGGCGAGAUUUUGCAGUGCAUGACUGAGAGAAUGGCCUCUGUCUCAAUGCCAAACGAUGACUAAAAUAAACAUAGAAAACCAAAUCAUUGUCUUU
rnacentral:lncRNA from 1 species